rnacentral:sRNA from 1 species
CCCCCUCCAGGGUGCAGCCGCGCCACUUCCUGACCUGGGCGCCCAUCAAAAUACCCCUCCGGACGUCCCCCUUCUCAGAUACAAGGACAGAGCGGGGCCGAGCGGCCCGCCCUCCUGCCCUGAUGCUGCGGGCCCAGAAGAGCCGGGCUGGGGACAAAGAAGACAAGAGUCUCACUCUGUUCCCCAGGCUGGAGUGCAGUGGUGCAAUCUCGGCUCACUGCAACCUCCACCUCCAAGGUUCAAGUGAUUCUCCUGCCUCAGCCUCCCAAGUAGCUGGGACUACAGGAGCCUCCACCGAUGCUGGGGGGAGGAGAGGACAGCACAGCCAGAGGCAACAGGCCGGUGGCCUCCACCCCGGUGCCCGGAUCCCCCUGGUGUAAUUCUGCACUGUGGUCACAUUCUCCAGAAAGAAAAAAAUAGCAUUUAAGCGAUGAGCUAUCCUGCUCUGAUCUAUCUGUGAAUAUGUAUUAAAAUGAUAAUGCUGUUGCAUGUCUAUCAGCGAAAGGCAGUGGCUGAAGAAAGUGUAGCAUGCCUUAUGCUUCAAAAGAUCUGUUUUCCCUCCACUCCAAGAAGAAUCGUAACUGAAUGUCUGUUAAUUAAAGACGUGCCUGUUCUCUCUGUCGCCCUGCGUGGCUGCCUGCUCUCGGAAUAUGCCACACUCCAGACACCCUCCACGAGGGAGCCACAGUUUUUGGUUUUUAAAAAUGCCCUUUUAUAAUGGAGUCAUUUGGAAGCAGAAUAAAAGGUUAUUACAGUAAAAAUUAAGUUUAAAGCCUGAAGAUGAGAGUGCAGUAUACAGCUGGGAGACACAGCUAAUUUAAAGAACAGAAAUAGCAACCACUUGUGUCAGCUCAAUGUGCCAGCCAGGUACAGAAGGCAGCCGGCUAAGGAGCACAGGGCCCCCACCAGCCUUGCGUAGUGAGUGAGCACAUCCCUGCUGACUGGGCCUGCUGUGCCACGCCCCGGCCCUCUGAUAAUUGGGGUGAACUUGGCUCCAAUCUGGACAGACUGGCACCCCUGCCUUGUAUGCCAUGGACAGUGUCGGUGGCAGGCUCCUGGUACCUCCAGCCUUCCAUUUGUAGCUAAAGCUCCUCUGCACCCUGGGAGUGCCGCGGGGUAAGGCCUCUUUGUACUAAUAUUAUGCUGUUUUCCAACCACCCGUUCUCCAACCCUUACAAUUUAGCUCGAUUCUGAUGCUAACUACUGGGAGUUAGUGUCAAACCCCACAGGCUGGGGUCAGUCCCUCAGGCUGCCCUGCUUCAGACAUUGGCUGCAAAUGGGGUCCCCCAGCUGCCUGCACAUCUGCCCAGCUGACCACAGAUUUGGGGUCCCCAUGACUUCCUCUCCACUUCAGUGGUGAUUUGCUAGGACCACUUGCAGAACUCAGGAAGCGCUUUACUUAUGAUUACAGUUGUCUUAUCAAGGAUACAAUUCAGGAACAGCCAAUGGAAGCAAUGCUCAGGGAAAGGUGUGGACCUAACUAAGCUUCUGGGCCUCGCUGGUGCCACCCUCCCAGUGCUGCAGCGUUCACCAGCCUGGAAGCGCUCUGAACCUCAAAGUUUUACAAUUUCAAUGGAAAUGUAACUACAUAGGCAUGACUGAUGAAAUCAUCAGCCAAGUGAGACGACUCAGAGGGUUGGGCAGCGCUAAAAGUGAUGGCCCUCCAGUCACGUGGUUGGUGUCUCUGGAGACCAGCACCCUCCCUGAAGCUACUCAGGGGUCCUGAAGUCAUUUCAUUUGUGCGGCCUCAGGCACAGGUGUUAUUCCUACCAGGUCAGGGACUUGGUAGGAAUAACAAGAUGCUCUCCUUGCUCAGGAAAUUCUAAGAGUUUGGGAAGCUCUGUGUCAGGAAUCUGGAACAAAGACCAUAUACAUCCCUCUGCUGCUUAACGACAGGGGUAUAUUCUGGAAACGCAUCCUCAGGCAGUGGCAUCCGACAUCCUUUUGUGCACAUCACAGGGUGUGCUCACACAGGCCUGGCGGCACGGCCUCCCGCACACCCGGGCUGCAUCAGGCUGCAGACCACACGGCGCUGACUGCACGGAAGCAGUUGUGACACAGUGGUGGGGAUGUGUGUGUCUAAACACAUCCGAACGUGAGAAGGUACAGUAAAAUUUGAUAUUAUAAUCUGACGGGACCACCAUGGUAUGUGUGGUCGGUCCAUGGUUGAGAGAAAUCUCACUAUGCGGCACAUGACUGCACAUACAUUUUACGAUGCCUCAAACUGGUUGAGAGCUUCUACAGGCAAACUCUCCAAUGUCUCCAAGGCAGGCACACUGCCGCACAUUGCGCUGCGGGAUGGGGAAACGUUCCCCAAGACUGUGUGGAAACCUCACACAGCUUCCGCCAAGCUCCCUGGGGAGUUGCAGGGAUCCAGAAGAUUGACCUUGAGCCCUAGAACCUUCUCACUGUGAAAGCUGCGGCUUUCUUCUCCAGCGAUAUUGUGUUACCAUGGGCAAGGCUUCGUGGGAUCCAGCAAAUGAAAACGGUUCCCUGGCUGCUGCACUCCCCUCCCUCAGCAUGGGUCUUUGCCGAUGAAUCCUGGGUAUUGAGCAUGUUUGACUUAUGAAAAACUAGUAUCAAAAUCAUGUUCUGAGAUGAAGUUGGUAGAACUUUUCUAAAAAGAAAGGAAAAGUUUCCCAAGACAUAAUACAUGUGGAUGAUGUUCGAGAAGAAAAAGGUGAUUAGAAUUGAUGGUGAUUACGACAGAUGCGGGGCUCGGUCACAUCAGCCUGUGUCACUUCCUCCCGUGCACCGUCCCCUGACUUGGCAGUUGCACUCGCUAAGCUGAGGGACGACGCAUCAGUCUUCUUUGAGUGUGUGGUCUGGACGGGCGAUGACCGAGUUUUCUUCUUCAACCCAACGAUGCACCUGUCUGUCUGGGAGAAGCCCAUGGACCUGAAGGACCGCGGAGACCUCAACAGGAUCAUUGAGGACCCACCCCACAAACGCAAACUGGAGGCACCAGCAACUGACAACAGCGAUGGGUCCGGUUCUGAAGACAACAGGGAAGACCAAGAUGUGAAAACCAAGAGGAACCGGACCGAAGGCUGUGGGAGUCCCAAGCCAGAGGAGGCAAAGAGAGAGGACAAAGGCACAAGGACGCCGCCCCCGCAGAUCCUCCUGCCCCUGGAGGAGCGUGUGACCCACUUCCGAGACAUGCUGCUGGAGAGAGGGGUAUCAGCAUUUUCUACCUGGGAGAAAGAAUUACACAAAAUCGUGUUUGACCCACGCUAUCUCCUGCUCAACUCUGAGGAACGAAAGCAGAUAUUUGAACAGUUUGUCAAGACAAGAAUAAAAGAAGAAUACAAGGAAAAGAAAAGUAAAUUGCUGCUAGCCAAAGAAGAAUUCAAGAAACUUCUAGAAGAAUCUAAAGUGUCUCCCAGGACCACGUUUAAGGAGUUUGCAGAGAAAUACGGCCGGGAUCAGAGGUUCCGACUUGUUCAAAAAAGAAAGGACCAGGAGCAUUUUUUCAACCAAUUCAUACUUAUUCUUAAGAAACGGGACAAGGAAAACAGACUAAGGCUGCGGAAAAUGAGAUGAGUUUGUGAAAAAAUGCAAUAAGCCCGGGGGUUGGCCCUGGGCGUGCCGGGGGUGAGAAGGUUACGGUGGAGACGGACACGGGCGUGGGGCGGCCGGGACCUGCACGGCCCAGCGGGCACCGGCGCUGCGGGGUCUUCGUUCUCAGAGGAUUACUGUUUCAUAUUGAAGCUCUCUCUUUUGUACGUUCAGAGUUUGAUGCAUUUCUAAUCACCAUGAUACGUCGAUCCCUUCAUUGUUUUAAUUAUGCAAAUUACUUGUAAUAUACACAAAUUAUCAAUCCACUGCAGGACUGUGGGGAAGCAGGAACAAGAGCCUCUGUAACAAUCUCAAGGCGUUUGUGUUAUCACCUAAGAUGAUUAGUGAAAACUUUUCUGAAAACCUUUGUGAAUUACUUCGUUCCUCCAGGAUUCCCGUGGUGUUGAGGAAUUCCUUACUCUGUCCCUAGAUCUCAGUCUCGUUUCUGAGUAGCAGCAAUAGGGUUUUCAUCAUUCAUCAUAGUGACAACUGUGAGCAUCCCACACCUGGACCGUGGAUCACUUACAGGUUUCCAAGGGUGGCCGCGCGUUCCCCUCAGAGGGGCGUCCCGGCCUGGAACAGGGAGCCACGCUGGUUGCCACUGGUCCUACUUCAAAAGAAUUAUUUUGUACAAAAUCAUCAUAUUAAUAUUUGAGUUAUUUUUAUUGUAUGCCCAGAGUUUGCAUGAGAUUUUUUCUCAUCAUCUUUGUAUAAAAAAUUUUUAAUUUUUUUUAAUCAAUAAAUAUUUUAAACCAG